AUGUUACCAAAUAAAAUCAGCAGUCAGACUGUGGGUGAUAAGGUCCAUGGUCAAAAGGGAAAGAGCCCAGACCGUCAGCUAAGGUCCCAAAAUUGAUGUUAAGUGGCAAAGGAAGUGAAGAUGUUUAAACAACUAGGAGGUUGGCUUAGAAGCAGCCAUCCUUUAAAGAGUGCGUAAUAGCUCACUAGUCGAAUGACUCUGCGCCGAAAAUGUACCGGGGCUAAAACAUCAUACCGAAGCUACGGAUUCAAAUAACUUCUUAGUUAUUUGAAUGGUAGGGGA
rnacentral:rRNA from 1 species